GAUGAACGCUGGCGGCGUGCCUAAUACAUGCAAGUCGAGCGAACAGACGAGGGACUUGCUCCUCUUACUUUAGCGGCGGACGGGUGAGUAACACUUGGAUAACCUACCUAUAAGCCUGGGAUAACGUCGGGAAACCGGAGCUAAUACCGGAUAAUAUAUUUAACCGCAUGGUUCAUUAGUGAAAGACGGUUUUGCUGUCACUUAUAGAUGGAUCCGCGCCGCAUUAGCUAGUUGGUAAGGUAACGGCUUACCAAGGCAACGAUGCGUAGCCGACCUGAGAGGGUGAUCGGCCCCACUGGUACUAAGACACGGUCCAGACUCCUCCGGGAGGCAGCAGUAGGGAAUCUUCCGCAAUGGGCGAAAGCUUGACGGAGCAACGCCGCGUGAGUGAUGAAGGUCUUCGGAUCGUAAAACUCUGUUAUUAGGGAAGAACAAAUGUGUAAGUAACUAUGCACGUCUUGACGGUACCUAAUCAGAAAGCCACGGCUAACUACGUG
rnacentral:rRNA from 1 species